AGCGUAUAUUAAAGUUGUUGCAGUUAAAAAGCUCGUAGUUGAAUUUCGGGGUUAGUAGGUUGGUCAUGCCUCUGGUAUGUACUGGUCUCACUGAUUCCUCCUUCCUGAUGAACCUUAAUGCCAUUAAUUUGGUGUUUUGGGGAAUUUGGACUGUUACUUUGAAAAAAUUAGAGUGUUUAAAGCAAGCUAACGCUUGAAUACAUUAGCAUGGAAUAAUGAAAUAGGACGUUCGAUCCUAUUUUGUUGGUUUCUAGGAUUGACGUAAUGAUUAAUAGGGAUAGUUGGGGGCAUUAGUAUUCAAUUGUCAGAGGUGAAAUUCUUGGAUUUAUUGAAGACUAACUACUGCGAAAGCAUUUGCCAAGGAUGUUUUCAUUAAUCAAGAACGAAAGUUAGGGGAUCGAAGACGAUCAGAUACCGUCGUAGUCUUAACCAUAAACUAUGCCGACUAGGGAUCGGAUGAUGUUAAUUUUUUAAUGACUCAUUC
rnacentral:rRNA from 1 species